GUUAAAGUGAAUUUUACUAGGCAUUAAGUGUUAUGUCCUUUGAAGAAAUCAACUAUGCAUCCUGAUUCUCUCACAUUUAAGACAGUCAAAAUUUUCUAGUAUCUAUGAGUGAAAAUUGAGAUGAUUGAAUAUGAACUCAGACAAUGCAACUCAGCAAAAAGAACUCUGCAUGUGAGAGUGAAGAGACCUAAAUUCUAUUCUGCCAUCCUCAAGGUCACAAAGUAAGUUUCAUGGCAAAUGUAAUUUGGCUUCUCCAGACUUCUAGCUUCCCAAUUGUACAAUGAUCGAAUUUUUGCUUAAUCUUUCCUGGCUGACUCCAUAGGGUUUAAUGAGGCACAGGAGAGCUUGGGAAGUAAAUUACUCUUCAUUCAUCAUUUACUUAUUCUCUCAUUCACACUUUCAUUCAUUUGUUCACCAAACAUUAUUAAGCAAUGUAUAUUUGCUCAAAGAUUAAUAAGAUUAAUAAGACACCAUCCAGUGACACAUAUGGAAAUGGAUAAGUCCCAUUUAAAAGCUGUAUAAAGGAUGGAAAAACUAAGUCUGAAGCAGUGAGAGAAGGCUUCUACUUUGAAGUUUUUUAACUCAGGAUGUAGAAUACGGUGUUCAUUUAUUAUUUAAUCCCAUAAGUAAAGAAAGCAUUUAUUCUGUGCCAAAUUUAUGACAGGAAUUAGGACAUGUGCUGAGGAUUCAAAACUAACUUCCAACAGACUUUACCAUUAGGAGUUUAUGGCCUAUAACUAAUAACAACAGGUUAUAUAUUUGAGCACAGGUUUCUGUAGAGACACAGAUUUGGAUCACCUAACCAAAAUUGGGAGUCAGAAGUCAGGGAAGAUGUAACAAACCUAUGAUAUUUGUGUCUGGCCAGUCAAGGGUAGGAUGAUGUUUAAGAAUUUGUACUUCUUCUCAUAUCAACACCCCAAAGUUCCCUUGGAGACCACCACUUCUGCCCCAUCAAUCCACUGUCCAAGUAGUGCUCCACUCUAAAUUCCACAGGUUGACAUAAUGCCUUAGGCCAGGACAAUCACACACAGCCUGAAUCCUCCUGGCUAAAGUGACACUUCAGCAGUAAGCAUAUUAUCCAGGCCUACAAUUCCAGCAGCCCAGAACACUAAUUGAUUCAGGGAUAGAUAUGGGAACCAGAUUAGUUGACAUAUAGUGACUCUCAAAAUGUUUACAGGUGAUACCAAGAAGAAACUGGGCUUGAAUCUAUUAUCUCACAGACUGUGAGCUGCUAGAAGCCAUCCUACUGUCACUUGUGACUAAAUGUAAAAUGAAAGAAAGCAGAACAAGGAAUGGAGUGGGCCAGGAAAUAGUUCUGGAAGAGGGGAAGUCCAAGGUCAAGGUGCUAGCAGAUUUUGUGUCUGGUGAGAGCUGCUCUCUGCUGCCAAGAUGGCAUCUCUUGGUAAGGAAGAUGAGGCACAGAGAGGUUGAAUAAAUGGGCCAAAUUCAUCAACUGCUAAGUGGAAGAGCCAGCACUUGAAGCCAGACUGUCUGCCUCUGUAACAUUAAACACUCAAUCAGACUGACCCUGAUGGAUAUGGGGAAGAUUUUAAGUGUUUAAUGCAGAAUGAUGACAUAAAUGACUUGCUUAUUUAGAACAGUAACUCUGCAGUUGAAAGGAUGAAUUAAAUGUUGGGAAGUGGUUAUUAAAAUGCUGUUGCAGUGGUCCAGGUAGCCAAAUAUAAGAACAUCACUAUGGUUAUUGUAGUGAGGAUACAUAAAUAAAGGACAGAUUGGAGACUUCUUGAGCAACCAGAAUUGGCAGAACCUGUUGAUGGAUUGGGGUAAUUAACAUUAGGGCACACACAAAAAAAGGAAGGUAACAUUUCAUCUCCAAACUAGAAAAAGAUAGAUAUGAUUUAGUUGGGAAGAUGAAGAACUUUGAGCAUAUUACCUGCAAGAUACUCAAACAAAACUCAGUAGGACACAAUUAUACUUGCAGGGUGAAUCUCAAGAGGAAAAGGAUUUAAGUGCAGAUGUGGUAGCCAUCAGAGGAAAGAAGUUAUUUUAAGAUAUGAGUGUGGAUAUCGUUUUAUAAAGAAGGGUGAAGAAUGACAAGAGAAAAGGGUUACAUACAGACGAUCUGUGGAGCAGCUGACUAAGUGAUGUGCAAAUUAGACUGGCAAGGAAAGACAAGAGUUAGAAAGAAAACCAGAGGAAAGAGAUGCCCCAGAAACAAGAGAGAAGCAGGAAAAUAUUACAUUAUCACUAAGUCUAAGGUUUUAGGGCUCCUCAAGAGUAUCCUUUGGAAUUGAUCAUAAUGAUGCCCCCAGUGAUCCUAAGGAAUGCCCUGAAAUGCGGUAGCUGGAGCUAGUCCCAAUCGCAAGGCACUAAAUUUUCUUCCAUGAGCAGUUCAGUGCUAGUGACGAAGGGAGCGCCUGACUGAUGCACAAAGAUGACAGCUAUGUGGCCAAGAGACCAAGACUAUGAGAAAAUGUUCCAUUCUGGCCCUGCCCCCAGAUGGAGCUGUAUGCUCAUCAGUGGAGCGAUAAAAUGCCAUGGCCUGGGAGGCGGGGGAGGAAAAGUUCUCUGUAACUCUUACCAUUCAAAAGUUUGUCAAGGCAUCAUUUUUCUUCAGAAGCAGAGAAGUCUGUCCCCUGUUGUUACUUGACAAGUAUUAACUAAAAGCCUACUCUGUGCCUUAGGCUGGGAAAUACCUUCCUACUAUACUUAGAGUAAGAAGAAGAGGAAGAUUCUCAGAAGGUAUUUACAACUUACUCAGUAACUUCCCAGAUUUAAAUUACUUAGAAAAAGCAAUAUCAAGUCUGUAAUCUAAUAUGUAAUUGAUACAGGAUACACAACUUCAGGGGAAUUGUGAUGUCCUGAAAUAUUCUUUCAAAUGCAACAGAAGGCACGAAGUAUAAUUAUAAAAUGACACUGGUUUCUACAAAUCAAAGGAAAAAUUGGUCUUUGUUCAAGGUCACACAUUACAUUCAAUUAGAUGUUUGUAUUUAGGAGGCUAUCCCGACCCACACAUGCUUUCAGCUUACAGACCCACACAUGUGCAAAGAAACACAGAACUCAAAAAAUCAUAAAAAUCAUAAUGUAUAAAUUUUUCAGAGCUAUUAAUUUUUCAUAUGAAAUUUUAAUCCAUUUCUUUUAUAACCGGUAGUAUUAGAUCUCAUAUUUCUGUUUCAUUCCCUUUCCUCACUUUGAAGCAGUUGAUAUAUUUACAUGAAAAUGACCUCUUUGUUCUUUAGAAAAUCAUCUCAGGCUUAUUCUCUACCCAGAAUUACAAUAAUCCUAUAUUUGUGACAUCUUAAUCACCUCCACAGCAACCGAUUGUGAGGUUAGAAACAGAGGAUUAAAACUUCAAGUGGAAAAUAAGAAGCAGGAAUUGAUGAGUUCUUAACAAACCAAGAUUUUUUUUUUCUUCAAAAUAAAUUACUCCAAGGAACAAGAAAGGAUUUUCAAACGAGGACUAUGAAGAAUAUAGAGAAAUACAGCAGAGCUGUUUAUCAAAGUUUUCCUUGGUAUGUCAGCAGGUCCUUUGGAACUGACAGUGCUGAUCUAAACAUUUCAAUAAUAAUAGAAGUGUUAACAGUGAUAGGAACAAAUAAUAUUAAACACUGUCAACUGCAGCAUUUCAUUUUCACUGGCCUGACAACCACUGCUGCAAAAAAUGAAAUGAGGAGAAAGAGACUUAACUGUUGAGUCAUUGCAAAUAAGACUCUAUUAACAAUACUAGCAAUGGGAACAAGGGUAUUAAAAUGAAAGAAAGCAAGAAAAAAAUGAAAGAAAAAGAGAAAGGAGAGAGCAAGAGCGGGGGAGGAGAAAGAAGGAGAGAGGGAGGGAGAAAAAAAGGAACUCAAGCCUGACUCCUGUCUUUAAUAGUGAGUGCAAGUUUUGGGUUUCUUUUUGUUUAUAUUUUUACAGGAUACAUAGAAACAAAUAUGUAAUAAAUAAAAAUGGAAGUGUGUCAUAUUAUUGAAAAAUAAAACCUGCCUAAAAAUAUGUAGGAAACUGAUGUUGAUUCUUUAAUGUUGGCCCCAUCUCCACCUCACCACCGUGAACCAAAAUAACAAUCUACUUAUUGAAGAGGACAUGUCACCUUUGAACUAAAUAUCUCGGUCUUGUCUUAGUGGAACAUGGCAUCACUUACACA
rnacentral:lncRNA from 10 species